UACGUAGGGGGCAAGCGUUGUCCGGAUUUAUUGGGCGUAAAGAGCGUGUAGGCGGUUUGGUAGGUCCGCUGUGAAAACUCGAGGCUCAACCUCGAGACGCCGGUGGAAACCAUCAGACUAGAGUCCGGAAGAGGAGAGUGGAAUUCCUGGUGUAGCGGUGAAAUGCGCAGAUAUCGGGAAGAACACCCGUGGCGAAGGCGGCUCUCUGGAACGCAACUGACGCUGAGACGCGAAAGCGUGGGGAGCAAACAGG
rnacentral:rRNA from 1 species